AUUGCAACUAUGUGACCCUUAUGGUCCCGCUCUUCCCCGGAUCCCGCCCAUAGUGGGAGCCUUGACGUAACUGGUAAAGUUGCCUCUAUGUGACCAGGAGCUCACAGGUUCGACUAGUGGAAACAACUUCUUGCAAAAAUGUAGUGUAAGACCACGUACAAUAGACCCUUAUGGUCCCGCUCUUCUCCGGACCCCGCCCAUAGUGGGAGCCUUGACGUAACUGGUAAAGUUGCCUCUAUGUGACCAGGAGCUCACAGGUUCGAGCAGUGGAAAUAAUCUCUUGCAAAACGUCAGGUAGUGACGUACACAGAAUUUCUUAGAAGCGGUGUCAUAAUUAAUCAAUAGACGGUGACUCAUAAAAGUUAGCGGAAAUGAC
rnacentral:lncRNA from 1 species